rnacentral:sRNA from 1 species
GCUGCUUUGAGACAGCCCCAGGUCGCGGAGCUGCUGGCCGAGGCCCGGCGAGCCUUCCGGGAGGAGUUCGGGGCCGACCCCGAGCUGGCCGUGUCCGCGCCGGGCCGCGUCAACCUCAUCGGGGAACACACGGACUACAACCAGGGCCUGGUGCUGCCUAUGGCUCUGGAGCUCAUGACGGUGCUGGUGGGCAGCCCCCGCAAGGAUGGGCUGGUGUCUCUCCUCACCACCUCUGAGGGUGCCGAUGAGCCCCAGCGGCUGCAGUUUCCACUGCCCACAGCCCUGCGCUCCCUGGAGCCUGGGACUCCUCGGUGGGCCAACUAUGUAAAGGGAGUGAUUCAGUACUACCCAGGUAUGGGGCCCAGGCCUGAGCCAAGUCCUCACUGAUACUAGGAGUGCCACCUCACAGCCAUAGAGCCCAUUCAUUUGUCUGACACACUGUGGGGAAGGCUUGCAGAGUAGAGCAUCCCAUUGUACAGAUGAGGACACUGAUGCCCCCAGAAGGCCGGGAACUUGCCCCGGGUUUCCCAUGACCUGAUUGGAGGAGCCAGGAUUCAAACCCCAGCCUUUUUUCCCUCCAGAGCCCUAAACCAGGAGGACAAUUAGAAGUGUCCCAGCAACCUCAGAGGGUGGGAAAAUGGAGGGCAGUGGGUCCAUUGGCCCAGCAGGUUGGUGGCUUCUGACAACUGAGACACACACCCUAGAAACAGCUGCUAGGCCGUUGCUGCCCUUCCUACCAGGACACGUGCCCUUCCUGUGCCAUCCUCCCAGGCAGCCCCUCUUACCAUCACCUGUUCUUUCCCCUGCAGCUGCCCCCCUCCCUGGCUUCAGUGCAGUGGUGGUCAGCUCAGUGCCCCUGGGGGGUG